rnacentral:rRNA from 2 species
CGCACGGGUGAGUAACACGUAUGCAAUCCACCUGUAACAGGGGGAUAACCCGGAGAAAUCCGGACUAAUACCCCAUAAUAUGGGCGCUCCGCAUGGAGAGCCCAUUAAAGAGAGCAAUUUUGGUUACAGACGAGCAUGCGCUCCAUUAGCCAGUUGGCGGGGUAACGGCCCACCAAAGCGACGAUGGAUAGGGGUUCUGAGAGGAAGGUCCCCCACAUUGGAACUGAGACACGGUCCAA